rnacentral:rRNA from 1 species
UACAGAGGGGGCAAGCGUUGUUCGGAAUUACUGGGCGUAAAGGGCGCGUAGGUGGCCUUCUAAGUUGAACGUGAAAUCCCUGGGCUCAACCCAGGAACUGCAUCCAAGACUGGGAGGCUUGAAUCCGGGAGAGGGAUGCGGAAUUCCAGGUGUAGCGGUGAAAUGCGUAGAUAUCUGGAGGAACACCGGUGGCGAAGGCGGGUCUCUGGGCCGAUACUGACGCUGAGGAGCGAAAGCGUGGGGAGCGAACAGG